AAACCAACAGGGAUUGCUCUAGUAACGGCGAGUGAAGCAGCAAUAGCUCAAAUUUGAAAUCUGGCGUCUUCGACGUCCGAGUUGUAAUUUGUAGAGGAUGCUUCUGAGUAACCACCGACCUAAGUUCCUUGGAACAGGACGUCAUAGAGGGUGAGAAUCCCGUAUGCGGUCGGAAAGGUGCUCUAUACGUAGCUCCUUCGACGAGUCGAGUUGUUUGGGAAUGCAGCUCUAAAUGGGAGGUAAAUUUCUUCUAAAGCUAAAUAUUGGCCAGAGACCGAUAGCGCACAAGUAGAGUGAUCGAAAGAUGAAAAGCACUUUGGAAAGAGAGUUAAAAAGCACGUGAAAUUGUUAAAAGGGAAGGGAUUGCAACCAGACUUGCUCGCGGUGUUCCGCCGGUCUUCUGACCGGUCUACUCGCCGCGUUGCAGGCCAGCAUCGUCUGGUGCCGCUGGAUAAGACUUGAGGAAUGUAGCUCCCUCGGGAGUGUUAUAGCCUCUUGUGAUGCAGCGAGCGCCGGGCGAGGUCCGCGCUUCGG
rnacentral:rRNA from 1 species